GAUGAAGAACGUAGCGAAAUGCGAUAAGUAAUGUGAAUUGCAGAAUUCAGUGAAUCAUCGAAUCUUUGAACGCACAUUGCGCCCGCCAGUAUUCUGGCGGGCAUGCCUGUCCGAGCGUCAUUUCAACCCUCGAACCCCUCCGGGGGGUCGGCGUUGGGGAUCGGCCCUGCCUCUUGGCGGUGGCCGUCUCCGAAAUACAGUGGCGGUCUCGCCGCAGCCUCUCCUGCGCAGUAGUUUGCACACUCGCAUCGGGAGCGCGGCGCGUCCACAGCCGUUAAACACCCAACUUCUGAAAUGUUGACCUCGGAUCAGGUAGGAAUACCCGCUGAACUUAAGCAUAUCAAAGCGGAGGA
rnacentral:misc_RNA from 1 species